rnacentral:rRNA from 1 species
GACGAACGCUGGCGGCGUGCUUAACACAUGCAAGUCGAACGGAAAGGCCCUGCUUGCAGGGUACUCGAGUGGCGAACGGGUGAGUAACACGUGGGUGAUCUGCCCUGCACUUCGGGAUAAGCCUGGGAAACUGGGUCUAAUACCGGAUAGGAGCCAUUUUUAGUGUGAUGGUUGGAAAGUUUUUUCGGUGUAGGAUGAGCUCGCGGCCUAUCAGCUUGUUGGUGGGGUAAUGGCCUACCAAGGCGGCGACGGGUAGCCGGCCUGAGAGGGUGGACGGCCACAUUGGGACUGAGAUACGGCCCAGACUCCUACGGGAGGCAUCAGUGGGGAAUAUUGCACAAUGGGCGCAAGCCUGAUGCAGCGACGCCGCGUGGGGGAUGACGGCCUUCGGGUUGGAAACUCCUUUCGCUAGGGACGAAGCUUUUUGUGACGGUACCUAGAGAAGAAGCACCGGCUAACUACGUG